UACGUAGGGUGCAAGCGUUGUCCGGAAUUAUUGGGCGUAAAGAGCUCGUAGGCGGUCUGUCGCGUCGGCUGUGAAAACUCGGGGCUCAACCCCGAGCCUGCAGUCGAUACGGGCAGACUAGAGUGCGGUAGGGGAGACUGGAAUUCCUGGUGUAGCGGUGAAAUGCGCAGAUAUCAGGAGGAACACCGGUGGCGAAGGCGGGUCUCUGGGCCGUAACUGACGCUGAGGAGCGAAAGCGUGGGUAGCAAACAGG
rnacentral:rRNA from 1 species